rnacentral:rRNA from 1 species
UAAUACUGCGAUGAUUUGAUUGAUGGUGGCGUUGUAACUACGGGAAACUGUAGGUAGGGGGCCUUAGGAUAUGGGGGAGACGAAGUAUGUGUGUUGAGUAAGUUGCAGACCUAUCAACUGGUAGUUAGGGUAAUGGCCUAACUAGGUGGUGACGGGAGACGGGGGAUUAGGGUUUGAUUCCGGAGAGGGAGCCUGAGAGAUGGCUACUACGUCCAAGGAUGGCAGCAGGCGCGAAACUUGCCUACUCUAAGAUAUAGGAGGCAGUGAUGAGACGUGAGUGAUUGUGGUGCGUUGUAAAGAGACGUACUGAUAUUGGAGGGCAAGUCGGGUGCCAGCCGCCGCCGUAACAC